AUUGAACGCUGGCGGCAUGCUUUACACAUGCAAGUCGAACGGUAACAGGUUAAGCUGACGAGUGGCGAACGGGUGAGUAAUGCAUCGGAACGUGCCCGAUCGGGGGGGAUAACGCAGCGAAAGCUGCGCUAAUACCGCAUACGAUCUGAGGAUGAAAGCGGGGGACCGUAAGGCCUCGCGCGAUCGGAGCGGCCGAUGUCAGAUUAGGUAGUUGGUGGGGUAAAGGCCCACCAAGCGGACGAUCUGUAGCUGGUCUGAGAGGACGACCAGCCACACUGGGACUGAGACACGGCCCAGACUCCUACGGGAGGCAGCAGUGGGGAAUUUUGGACAAUGGGCGAAAGCCUGAUCCAGCAAUGCCGCGUGCAGGAAGAAGGCCUUCGGGUUGUAAACUGCUUUUGUACGGAGCGAAAAGGCCCUUUCUAAUACAAGGGGCUCAUGACGGUACCGUAAGAAUAAGCACCGGCUAACUACGUGCCAGCCGCCGCCGUAACAC
rnacentral:rRNA from 1 species